rnacentral:tRNA from 1 species
GGGCGCAUGGUGUAGUUGGUUAUCACAUCCGCUUAGCAUUUGUGCUUUGUUUGCGGGGGGUGCUGGGUUCAAUUCCCAGUGUGUCCA